rnacentral:rRNA from 1 species
UACGGGGGGGCAAGCGUUGUUCGGAAUUACUGGGCGUAAAGGGCGCGUAGGCGGCCUACUAAGUCGGACGUGAAAUCCCUCGGCUCAACCGAGGAACUGCGUCCGAUACUGGCAGGCUGGAAUCCGGGAGAGGGAUGUGGAAUUCCAGGUGUAGCGGUGAAAUGCGUAGAUAUCUGGAGGAACACCGGUGGCGAAGGCGGCAUCCUGGACCGGUAGUUGACGCUGAGGCGCGAAAGCUAGGGGAGCAAACGGG